CCUCAGUGCAUAAUAUGUUUGCGCCAUUUUGUCCCAGACGAAUUACAAUAACAAUAAUGCAUAAACAAGCUUCAAGGCUAUACUACGACUCUUGCAGUACACAAUAUACUGUGGUAACCCCAAGUUAAUGGAACUUCCCCAAAUCCGGGAAUCUCCCACGACUGUACACUUACGACUUAGUAUAAACAACAGAUAACAUAUUCAGACUUUAAGAUGCCAUCUUGAACUAAGUCAGGAAAAUUUCCAUGACGUAUGCACCCUUUAGUUAUGGCCUUGUAUGUUUGCCAAGUUAAGGGAGGUCCUAAAUUGAAUAAAGUAAAAGAAGCGUUACUUUUUCAUAUUUGAACUACAGUAACCUAAAAUGACGACACCUAAGGUAUAAAUAGGUGUACUUUUAAAUGUUAAGACACAGAGGAGAGACUUGGAGACAGACGCUGCUCCAUCUUAAAAUGACAGAGAGGCUGACAUGAUGACAUGUUCAGAAGGGUAUGUUAACCUAUUAAUGAUAUUUGCAAGCAUGUAAUUUAAUCUUAUAAACUCUGCU